UCAAGGGAGAAGAGGGAAUCGACAGCUCACAACAAAAUACAUAGGGUAUUGUGUAAGCGAGAUAACGCUGUGGGAUUGACAAAAAAUAAGAACGUAUAAAAAUAUUCAUUGAAACCUCGAUAAUUAGUUUCAUAAUUCGCAAAUAACUCAAUAACUAAUGAAGUACCAAAAAAAAAUGGACACAAACAGCAAUUUAGAAUUUAAAAAGAAGGUAGUGCAAAAAUAUAAUAUGCACAAUAUAUUACAAGGACUUUUCAGUAUCUGUAUGAUACAGAUACUCCCCCAGGGGAAUAACGGAGGUUUAUUUUCCUCACUUUGGGAGAGGGGUUGGAGUAACACCAUGGGCAUGAGCAGAGUAAAUGGAUUAUGAAUAGGAAGUCAAAUUUGGUAUUUUUCUAAAAACAAUAUAUCUCAAGGGUCCACGGAAAGUUCUAUUAAAUGUUUAUUAAAGUACUAAUGAUACAAUCAAUCACAUAAUUAGCAUAUAAUUAUAGACACAAGUUU
rnacentral:lncRNA from 1 species